CUUAGGGUCAUUGUAAAACACAGAAACAUGUAGUGCUAUAGGCCUCCAUCUACUCAAGCUUUCACAAAAAGAGGAACCAAUUUCCAACAACACCAGAAGGAGCUGCAGGUGCCUGUACAUGGAUGCAUCUCAAGAAGGUUGGGACAGUUUCUUUGAGCUAAGAGAUAGAUCCUUCUCUCCACUCCGAACAGUUAGACCCAAGCCUAGAGGGAGAGACAGAUAAUGAACAGACUGGUGCCUAGAAGGGGAAGGAAAGGAAUCAUUGUGUGGAGUGACUACCAGGUGCAUAGUCCUUAAGAACUGCUUAUAUUCUCUCUGAAGCUAAUGGCAACGCUCCCAUGAUUUCACUGUGGCAGGCCCACAGUUUUCGCCAGACCACAAUUUGCUGUGUUCAAUAAAGUCCUCACAUUUGGAACUGAAGAAGGUGGUCCCCAAAUGAGUCGUCCAAAAACUGGCCAUUCUCCUUGCACAUAAGCUGCAGGAGCAAGAAAAAGAAAUGGCCUGCAAUUCAUUUUCUGUGAUCUUCUAAGA